ACCGGUGCCAUCUGGACAUCAAACAAAACACACAAGGCUAUCACUAUUAGUGUGCUGGUAUGUUAAUUAAUUUCUCCACAAUUUGACAACCCUGUUUAUCAGUCAAAUUAUUAAGGGGCGCACAAAAUUUGUACUAAUAAUGCGUACUUGGGAGAAUCCGAGACCAUGCAAUUGAGAAUCUGUAGGCAUCCAAUCCCAUAUCUGCCAUAAGCUGAAUGUCCUCCUGAAAUAGUAAGUUGUUUCAAGGGCCAUGAGUAUAUUGUACAACGUGUGCAUAAUUAAACGCUCAUGUUCAUAUUCGACGACACGUUCUACGGAAUAUUAUGUAUCAUCUUGAUGCAUUAAUCUAGUGCCUAUAUUUCCAAAAAGGAGGAACCUCAAAACGGUGGUAGUGGUCAACAGCAACAUCGGCAUUGCUGAAGUCAAGGAUCUUCCCUACAUAGGAGAAAAAGGAGGAGGCGGCGGUGCCGAAGACGAAGCCCUUGGGGAAGCUCCCUCUCGUCAGAUUAUCAUGCCCACUCUCCCUCAUCUGCGCGUUGCAUCCCUGCUGCGUUGCCGCCGCGGCCAACCACACAAGCACCAGCGUCGCCACACAUUGCCAUUUGCAUGCCAUUCUCUUCUCCGCGUGCGCGCGAGCGAGAGAGAGCGCGUGCGGCACAGAGACUUAUAUAUGCAUACUGUGAGCUAGUAGAUGGCAUGUGUGUUGCUUACAGGGAGAGAAGUCUCGUGUUGCUUACAAGGAGAGAAGAGUCCCCAAGAGUCCGAUGUUUGAUAUAAGCGUGUGUAAAGUUGGUUAGGAGGGCCCAAGCGGCUAGCAAACCGAUCAAGCAAAGUGUGGGGGCAACAAACACUCCCCAUGUCCCGCCCUGAGCAAGAAUGUUCAAAGACGAGUAGAUGUGUUCAGAGAGGAUGAGUUGCUGUUGCUGAAAUGCAUAUGAUCUGGAGUAGUUAAUGCCAGUUGCUAUAGUUAGACGAGUAGAUAGAUACAUACGUGUUGAUGUGCACAUGUAUUUAUCCGUUAGUGUACCGUUGGCAUCCCUUGCAAGGAAGGAUCGCGCUUGAAAGCAUGGUGGAGGAACGGACAGUACUGUAUGUUGCCUCGGCUUGUGCUUUGUUGUUGCUUUCUGAGCUGGUUGGUGGCCAGACAAGAAGAGAGCCCGAGAGGAUGGAUGGAAGCUUAGCUAGACAUGUUGGUAGACUGAACGCAACGCACUCGUACUCGAUUUGGUAUGCGCAGUACGAGCACAUACUCUCAUCAUGUUGUGGCCUAUAUUUAGUGUCCAGGUCUUUUCAAUCUGUCGGUAAACCAGCCGUAUAAUGACACAUCAACUAAACCUCAGGGCUUUCGUUGUUUUCUGA